GCCGGUGUAGCUCAGUUGGCAGAGCAACUGAUUCGUAAUCAGUAGGUCGGUGGUUCGAGUCCACUCACCGGCACCA
rnacentral:tRNA from 3 species